rnacentral:sRNA from 1 species
AUUUGUUGGCCUUAAGUCCCAACCGAUGUCCAUUAGCCGGACUCGAAAGUGAGGAGCCGUUAAUGUGGACUGUGGAUCGAUCUACGUCAUUACGGAUUAAGGGCCUGGAUUUAUCACUGGGUUGGCGGGAUGGUGGGGAACAAGAUGGAUGGAAAGGGAGGGAAAGACAAGAUGCGACUAGGAAGAGACACACCUGACCAGCCCCUCCCCCCAGGCUCAGGUUCCUCCUUUGGGCCCAGCGGCCGGCGAGGCCGCCAGACAUACACGCGUUACCAGACGCUGGAGCUGGAGAAGGAGUUUCACUACAAUCGCUACCUGACGCGGCGGCGGCGCAUCGAGAUCGCGCACGCCCUGUGCCUGACGGA